rnacentral:lncRNA from 1 species
AGAAUGAGGAAUGUGAUCACACCAUGUGCGGCAAUCUCAACCAACAUUACAUUCAUACACAUAAUUUAUAAAACAAUAUACAAUCCCAAAUAUAUGAGCAAUCCAAAACAACUAUCCAUACUAUCCAUUAUGCAGAAAGAUAUCUACUCAAAAUUUUCAUUCAAACAUAUCAUUUACGAAAAAUGUUGAAGGAUAAAAAAGUUCGUUAAAUCAAUUUG